CCUACGGGAGGCUGCAGUGGGGAAUAUUGGACAAUGGGCGCAAGCCUGAUCCAGCCAUGCCGCGUGAGUGAUGAAGGCCUUAGGGUUGUAAAGCUCUUUCGCACGCGACGAUAAUGACGGUAGCGUGAGAAGAAGCCCCGGCUAACUUCGUGCCAGCAGCCGCGGUAAUACGAAGGGGGCUAGCGUUAGGCGGAAUCACUGGGCUUAAAGCGUGUGUAGGCGGCCCGUUAAGUACCCCGUGAAAUCCCGCGGCUCAACCGCGGAACCGCGGGGUAUACUGGCGGGCUUGAGAGGCCUAGGGGUCAUCGGAACAGGCGGUGGAGCGGUGAAAUGCGUAGAUAUCGCCUGGAACGCCGGCGGCGAAAGCGGAUGACUGGGGGCCUUCUGACGCUGAGACACGAAAGCCAGGGGAGCGAACGGGAUUAGAUACCCCGGUAGUC
rnacentral:rRNA from 1 species